rnacentral:rRNA from 1 species
UACAGAGGGGGCGAGCGUUGUUCGGAAUUACUGGGCGUAAAGGGCGCGUAGGCGGCCAACUAAGUCAGACGUGAAAUCCCUCGGCUCAACCGGGGAACUGCGUCUGAUACUGGAUGGCUUGAAUUCGGGAGAGGGAUGCGGAAUUCCAGGUGUAGCGGUGAAAUGCGUAGAUAUCGUAAGGAAGACCAGUGGCGAAGGCGGGUCUCUGGACAGUUCCUGACGCUGAGGCACGAAGGCCAGGGGAGCAAACGGG